CGGAGGUGGCAAGCGUUACUCGGAAUUAUUGGGUGUAAAGGGCAAGUAGGUGGCUUGGUAAGUGAGAGGUGAAAUACUCCGGCUCAAUCGGAGAACUGCCUUUCAUACUGCCUUGCUUGAGGAUGCUAGGGGGUAAGGGAAUUCCCGGUGUAAGGGUGAAAUCUGUAGAUAUCGGGAAGAACACCAGCGGCGAAGGCGCUUACCUGGAGCAUUCCUGACACUGAAUUGCGAAAGCUAGGGGAGCAAACAGAAUUAGAUACUCUGGUAGUCCUAGCCGUAAACGAUGAGCACUAGGUGUUGGCUCCGUUAGGAGUCAGUGCCGCAGCUAACGCAUUAAGUGCUCCACCUGAGGACUACGGUCGCAAGGCUA
rnacentral:rRNA from 1 species